UCUACGGGUGGCUGCAGUGGGGAAUAUUGGACAAUGGGCGAAAGCCUGAUCCAGCCAUGCCGCGUGUGUGAAGAAGGCCUUCGGGUUGUAAAGCACUUUCAGUGGGGAAGAAAGCCUUGGGGCUAAUACCCUCGAGGAAGGACAUCACCCACAGAAGAAGCACCGGCUAACUCCGUGCCAGCAGCCGCGGUAAUACGGAGGGUGCGAGCGUUAAUCGGAAUUACUGGGCGUAAAGCGCGCGUAGGCGGUCUGAUAAGCCGGUUGUGAAAGCCCCGGGCUCAACCUGGGAACGGCAUCCGGAACUGUCAGGCUAGAGUGCAGGAGAGGAAGGUAGAAUUCCCAGUGUAGCGGUGAAAUGCGUAGAGAUCGGGAGGAAUACCAGUGGCGAAGGCGGCCUUCUGGACUGACACUGACGCUGAGGUGCGAAAGCGUGGGUAGCAAACAGGAUUAGAUACCCCUGUAGUC
rnacentral:rRNA from 1 species